rnacentral:rRNA from 1 species
UAGGGAAUUUUUCACAAUGAGCGAAAGCUUGAUGGAGCAAUGCCGCGUGAACGAUGAAGGUCUUUAAGAUUGUAAAGUUCUUUUAUUUGGGAAGAAUGACUUUAGCAGGUAAUGGCUAGAGUUUGACUGUACCAUUUUGAAUAAGUGACGACUAACUAUGUGCCAGCAGUCGCGGUAAUACAUAGGUCGCAAGCGUUACCCGGAUUUAUUGGGCGUAAAGCAAGCGCAGGCGGAUUGAAAAGUCUGGUGUUAAAGGCAGCUGCUUAACAGUUGUAUGCAUUGGAAACUAUUAAUCUAGAGUGUGGUAGGGAGUUUUGGAAUUUCAUGUGGAGCGGUGAAAUGCGUAGAUAUAUGAAGGAACACCAGUGGCGAAGGCGAAAACUUAGGCCAUUACUGACGCUUAGGCUUGAAAGUGUGGGGAGCAAAUAGGAUUAGAUACCCUAGUAGUCCACACCGUAAACGAUAGAUACUAGCUGUCGGGGCGAUCCCCUCGGUAGUGAAGUUAACACAUUAAGUAUCUCGCCUGGGUAGUACAUUCGCAAGAAUG